CGUAAAGGGUCUGUAGGAGGUUUGUUAAAUACGGGGUGAAAUCCGGGAGCUCAACUCCCGAACUGCCCUGUAGACUGACAGACUAGAGUACCGGAGAGGUAAGCGGAAUACCAAGUGUAGCGGUGGAAUGCGUAGAUAUUUGGUAGAACACCAACAGCGAAGGCAGCUUACUGGCCGGCAACUGACUCUGAAAGACGAAAGCAUGGGGAGCAAACAGGAUUAGAUACCCUGGUAGUCCAUGCCGUAAACGUUGUCAACUUGAUGUGGGUGGAUUUAGUCCUAUCCGUAUCGAAGCCAACGCGAUAAGUUGACCGCCUGGGGACUACGGCCGCAAGGCUAAAACUCAAAGGAAUUGACGGGGGCCCGCACAAGCGGUGGAGCAUGUGGCUUAAUUCGAGGCAACGCGAAGAACCUUACCUGGGCUUGAAAUAUACCGGACAGUCUGUGAAAGCAGAUCUUCCUUCGGGACUGGUAUACAGGUGCUGCAUGGCUGUCGUCAGCUCGUGCCGUGAGGUGUUCGGUUAAGUCCGGCAACGAGCGCAACCCGUGUCAUUAGUUGCCAACAGGUAAAGCUGGGGACUCUAAUGAGACUGCCUGUGUUAAGCAGGAGGAAGGCGCGGAUGAUGUCAAGUCAGUAUGGCCCUUACGCCCAGGGCUGCACACGUGCUACAAUGGCCGGCACAAUGAGAAGCGAAGUCGCGAGGCGGAGCAAAUCUACAAAACCGGUCUUAGUUCAGAUUGCAGUCUGCAACUCGACUGCAUGAAGUUGGAAUCGCUAGUAAAUGCGUAUCAGCUACGACGCAUUGAAUACGUUCCCGGGCCUUGUACACACCGCCC
rnacentral:rRNA from 1 species